AUUAUUCUAAAAAACUGUGUCGUAUCAAAUUUCUACGCUGCUUUUGUGGGUGUGGCAGGUGCCAGUCACGAAGACAGACCCUAGAGGUGUCCCCCCGAUUGAGACUCCGUCACACGUACAUCAAUCUGUGCGCUAUUUAGAGCGGCUUUUUACAUAAAAGUGCUUAAAUAUCAUAUAUUCAAUGGUGUUUCACAGUUUUGACAACGCCAACCGGUGCCCGAGGAUCCAACGUGGCAGCCAGUGUAAUUUUUCUAAAAAUCCAUUGGGGACCCAUUUUCGCAAAUUUCGUUUGAAAUUGGGCAUUUCGUGGCAAAUGAAAAUUUUCUUCGAUUACGUAAUCACAUUUUGUCCGGUGCAAAGUUUUCCUCGUGCUCCAAUCCAUCAAUUACUGGCCAAUUUUCUUGGGUAAUCAGCCCGCCAAAAUAUUAUUUCCAAAGAACUAUCUCUGUUUUCUUAAAAUUUUUGAUACAAAAUUUAUUAUUAAUAAUUUUAGCCCGUUUUCAGUGCAUUUAAACAACAAUGUUGUCGCUGUAGACCAAGAGAACUGCGUCAGUAGCACAAAAUCUGUGGAUUUUUGAUGUUUUAACCGGCUUUUCUGUCCAGGAUCGUGUAUAAAAUGUUUUUCAUUCAUUUCUGUGUAGUACGCCUGCGUACCCAGUUCAGACAACGUACUGAAGCCACCAAGCUUUGAUACUGACAACAAAAACCGUUCUUUAAAGGCUACAAACUGCAUUUCUGGAGAGGAUUACUAGUGCAACUGCAUUCUACAGGAGGUUUUUUGUGUUGCAAGCCAAGGCACCUACAUUGCUGACAUCUUUGGAUGCGGCAACUGCAAGAACUCCUUCAAUUUAUACGCGUUUUUAGGUUAUUUCGAUAAUACAAGGAUAUUUCGUAUUCUUAGCCAGGAAUAAGUGCAUAUUUAAGUUCUUGUGUCAACAUAUUACGAACUUGUACCAUACUCUUUAACCUACAGUGUGUGGUAAGUUCUUUAAAUUUCUAAUUGCUCUUGAAGAAUUAAGUGGUCAACCUAAGGAUGAGUCUCUUAAAGGGCACGUAUAGAUUAGAUGCAGUUAUACCUUGCAUAAUACCUUAUAUAAUAGCGAUACUGAACGAUGAAUCCUGGUUUGAUCUUCAUUCGUAAACUCGAUCGAGGAAAUAUUAGACGUAAAUGCAGUAAAUCUCUUCUUGACAGGAUAAGCUCUUCACUACGAAAGUAACCUGUGAGAAUGAUUGGAAGUGUUGCAUAUUAAGUUAUAUUGGCACAAAGCCUGCAGAUAUUUGUAAGCCGGGCCUUAAAUGAUAGUGUACUCAGUUUUCUUUUUUUAACGUGUAUUUUUCACGUGUUUUCUUAAGCACAUUCGGUUAAUUGUGGACAUACAUUUCAUUGUGAAUAAAACGGUUUUCGAACGCGUGGUACUUUUUAACUUUUUCGAAACUUUUUUUAUCUCUUUAAGCUCUCUAUAUAAAA